rnacentral:rRNA from 1 species
GAUGAACGCUAGCGGCAGGCCUAACACAUGCAAGUCGAGGGGUAACUAGAGUGAUAGCAAUAUUACUUUGGCUAGACCGGCGCACGGGUGCGUAACACGUAUGCAACCUACCUUAUACUGGGGAAUAACUUCGAGAAAUCGGCGCUAAUACCCCCUAACAUUGCGAAGAGGCAUCUCUUUGCAAUUAAAGCUCCGGCGGUAUAAGAUGGGCAUGCGUCCAAUUAGCUAGUUGGUGAGGUAACGGCUCACCAAGGCUACGAUUGGUAGGGGUUCUGAGAGGAUGAGCCCCCACACUGGUACUGAGACACGGACCAGACUCAUACGGGAGGCAGCAGUGAGGAAUAUUGCGCAAUGGACGAAAGUCUGACGCAGCCAUGCCGCGUGCAGGAUGACGGCCCUAUGGGUUGUAAACUGCUUUUGUACGGCAACAAACCCUUCUACGUGUAGGAGGCUGAAGGUACCGUAAGAAUAAGCACCGGCUAACUCCGUGCCAGCCGCCGCGGUAAAAC